UUAAUCUGUCACGCCCCUGGGCCGAUUUUAAAAAUCUUUUUAUAAUGAAUACUAUUUUUUAAAAUUUAGAGUGGCGGAAAACGUGCCAUUUUUUUUUGACUUCAACCUGCCCUAUGUGGCGUACAGAGCCGCCACAAAUACAAAGUUCCUCUGCCCAUAUGGACGGAGUCUCUUUUGUAUUUGCACGGCGCACGCAACGAUAAUAACAACAGGAUCACAACUCAUAAUCUACAUUUACCAAUUCACAAGCAAUUCAUGCAAUUCCUAUUUAAAAGUGCUCCUCACCCCGAAGCUUUAUUUUUAAACUCUAUUUGUUCAUCCAUGAAAAUCAUUCGAAAAUUAUUUAAAACUGUUUUCCACUCGGAAACUCCAUUUUUGAAAACUGACUAUCUCAAGAGGUAGAAAAUCACAACGUAUAAAAUCCAAAUACCAAAGAUCCAUAAAACUCCGAUUGCAGGCAUAAUAGAAAAUAUCAACUCAUACAAGUUCACGAUUAAUCAAGCAGUAACUAUGAUCAUCUAACUGAACCAUUUAUUAUUU
rnacentral:lncRNA from 1 species